rnacentral:lncRNA from 1 species
AUAGGGUUUCUCUCCAGUAUGUGUUCUUUUAUGCAUUUUAAGAGUACUUUGGUGAGGAAAGGCUUUACCACACUGAAUACAUUCAUAGGGUUUCUCUCCAGUAUGUGUCCUUUUAUGCGUUUGAAGAUGACUGUGCUGAGAAAAGGCUUUACCACACUGAUUACAUUCAUAGGGUUUCUCCCCAGUAUGUGUCCUUUUAUGUAUUUGAAGAUGACUAUUACGAGCAAAGACUUUACCACACUGAUUACAUUCAUAGGGUUUCUCGCCAGUAUGUGUGUUUUUAUGCACAUGAAGUGCACUCUGAUCAGUAAAGCCUUUACCACAAUGAUUACAUUCAUAAGGUUUCACUCCAGUAUGUCUAUUUUUAUGCGUUUGAAGAUGACUGUGCUGAGCAAAGGCUUUACCACACUGAUUACAUUUAUAAGGUUUCUCUCCAGUAUGUGUCCUUUUAUGUAUUUGAAGAGUAUUUUGCCGAGAAAAAGCUUUACCACACUGAUUACAUUCAUAGGGUUUCUCUCCAGUAUGUGUCCUUUUAUGUAUCUGAAGAGUAUUUUGCUGAGAAAAAGCUUUACCACACUGAUUACAUUCAUAGGGUUUCUCUCCAGUAUGUGUUCUUUUAUGCGUUUGAAGAUGACUGUGCUGAGAAAAGGCUUUACCACACUGAUUACAUUCAUAGGGUUUCUCCCCAGUGUGUGUCCUUCUAUGCAUUUGAAGUUUACUGUGACUAGCAAAGACUUUAUGACAUUGGUUACAUUCAUAGUGUUUCCCUCCACUAUGUGUUGUUUUAUGCCUUUAAAGAUGACUGUUAUGUGCAAAGGUUUUAAGACAUUGUGUAUAUGCAGAACGCUUCUCUCCAGUUUGGCUUCCUUCAUGCCUGCAAGGAAAAUAGGCAUGUAAAUGUUUUACCACCUUCAAUACAAUGUUAAAUCUUGAAAUCUGUAUAGAUUAAUAUUGCAAUUUGUUGCAUUUGUGAAGAAGAAUCAUAUCUUACAGACUUAUCACUGUUUUUACACUCAUAUUUCCCCUACAUUAAGG